rnacentral:lncRNA from 1 species
AUGUUUCAUGCCUUUAUUAGGUCGAAUGGCACAGGAAGACUUGCAGAAAGAGAAGUCCUUACUAUCAGCGCUCCAGGCAAAGGAGAGAAGGUGUGUGAAGAAUACAGAUUUGGAAGAGGAAAUAAUGGGAGACUGAUGACUGGAACAAAAUACUUAAGUGAAAAUUCUUCCUCCCUUGCAAAGCUCUCCCACAGCUAGAUGUUGUGUUGUCUGCUUUUAAUUCCAGAACUGCCAAGAAAGCAUGGCUCCUAGGAUUCUACCUAUUUUUGCUUUGGUUUUGUCUGCCAUUAAGUAAUGAACCUAAAUAUUCAGGAAUCACGCUGAAUAAGAAUCUCAUAAUCUGCCCUUUACGCCUGAAACCUAUACUAUUCCCUUGUCAGUUUUUCUAACUGAAUUACAUAAAGUAAUGUAAAAUUUCCUCCUGUUAUUUGCAGAGAACUCAAACAAGAAGCCAGCAGAAUUUAUUUUCCUUUUUUGAGUUUGCAUUUUGGAUUUUUUUUUCUGUGCUAACGUACAUCGGAUGUCAGGUUCCCAGAUGAGAAUAGUUAGACUGGUGUUGACAUUUUUAGAAGCAUGUGCAGAUGGAAAAAAUAUCCUGGGAGUGCUGCCAAUAGCUGAUUCUAUAAAGUUUUAGAGUCUCUGUUGAGUAGGAAACAUGGUCCAGAUACCUUUACAGAAAAGAAGUCUUUCUCAUGGAGUAUCUCUAGUCAGGUGAGUGCAAUGCUUUCUCAAUUUAGGAGAAGGACCCAAAUUCAACCAGAUUCUGACUAUUAGAAGAUAUUCAGUUCCCCUUUCAGAUAAGAUGAUAAACAGCCAGUUUAGCAUCUUUCUCAAGGGGAAGCACAACUACAGCAAGAUAUCCUGGCAAAAAGGAGAUUUCCCAAGGUCCAACUUGCAAGGAUAACAAACAAAAUGGUUCAAUCAAGUGGCCUGUCUAUCCCAUGACUAUUCCUCCAGUUUGUGCUGAUGUGGCUGGCACAAAACACUGUUGAGCUUAGCUGAUUUCAGUGAAUUCAAUCCACAGAUUUCUAUUUCACAGGAGGUGGUAGAAUUUGGAGGAUAAAUGUGACUGCUUGAUAGUACUAUGUACCAUGGUUGUUAAUAAUUUCUGUAGGCUUUGCAGCAUGCUCAUUUCAAGUGUCUCAUCAGAACUAAUGCCUCAUCAAUGGACAGUGGCUUUUCCCAGGGCGUAGGUCAA